rnacentral:rRNA from 1 species
AUGCAAGUCGAACGGUAACAUUUCUAGCUUGCUAGAAGAUGACGAGUGGCGGACGGGUGAGUAAUGCUUGGGAACUUGCCUUUGCGAGGGGGAUAACAGUUGGAAACGACUGCUAAUACCGCAUAAUGUCUUCGGACCAAACGGGGCUUAGGCUCCGGCGCAAAGAGAGGCCCAAGUGAGAUUAGCUAGUUGGUAAGGUAACGGCUUACCAAGGCGACGAUCUCUAGCUGUUCUGAGAGGAAGAUCAGCCACACUGGGACUGAGACACGGCCCAGACUCCUACGGGAGGCAGCAGUGGGGAAUAUUGCACAAUGGGGGAAACCCUGAUGCAGCCAUGCCGCGUGUGUGAAGAAGGCCCUCGGGUUGUAAAGCACUUUCAGUUGUGAGGAAAAGUUAGUAGUUAAUACCUGCUAGCCGUGACGUUUACAACAGAAGAAGCACCGGCUAACUCCGUGCCAGCAGCCGCGGUAAUACGGAGGGUGCGAGCGU